rnacentral:rRNA from 1 species
GAUGAACGCUGGCGGCGUGCCUAAUACAUGCAAGUCGAGCGAACGGACGAGAAGCUUGCUUCUCUGAUGUUAGCGGCGGACGGGUGAGUAACACGUGGAUAACCUACCUAUAAGACUGGGAUAACUUCGGGAAACCGUAGCUAAUACCGGAUAAUAUUUUGAACCGCAUGGUUCAAUAGUGAAAGACGGUCUUGCUGUCACUUAUAGAUGGAUCCGCGCUGCAUUAGCUAGUUGGUAAGGUAACGGCUUACCAAGGCAACGAUGCAUAGCCGACCUGAGAGGGUGAUCGGCCACACUGGAACUGAGACACGGUCCAGACUCCUACGGGAGGCAGCAGUAGGGAAUCUUCCGCAAUGGGCGAAAGCCUGACGGAGCAACGACGCGUGAGUGAUGAAGGUCUUCGGAUCGUAAAACUCUGUUAUUAGGGAAGAACAAAUGUGUAAGUAACUAUGCACGUCUUGACGGUACCUAAUCAGAAAGCCACGGCUAACUACGUG